UCUAUUAUUACAUGGUAAUGAAUCUAACACCCAUAGAGUUCUGGUGUUGAUCAUGUUUUGCCCAUGGAAGAGGUUUAGUCAAUGGAUCUACAACAUUCAGAUCCGUAUGUACUUCGCAAAUGUUUAUGUCCUCCUCUUUGACCGCAUCACGGAUGGAGUUGAAGCGUCGCUUUAUGUGCCUGGUCCUCUUGUGAAACCUUGAUUCUUUGGCUAGAGCAAUGGCACCAGUGUUGUCACAGAGCAGAGUCAUUGGGUUUAGUACACUGGGCACAACUCCAAGAUCUGUCAUGAACUGCUUCAUCCUCUAGAGCAUAUUUCCAACACCCACCACCCAUCAGGGCACACCAGGGGCCUCUGGCGUGCCGAGGUGGGUGGUGGGCCCCAUGGGCCUCCCCUCUGGUGCUUCCUUGGCUCUCAAGUUGUCUUCUGGUCCCAAAAAAUCUCUAAAAAGUUUCGUGGCAUUUGGAAUUCGUUUGAUACUGAUAUUCUGUGAAGUAAAAAAAGCAAAACAAUAGCAACUGGCACUGGGCACUAUGUCAAUAGGUUAGUCCCAAAAAAUGAUAUAAAGUUGCUAUAAAAUAAAGGUAAAACAUCCAAGAAUGAUAAUAUAACAACAUGGAACAAUCAAAAAUUAUAGAUACAUUGGUGACGUAUCAACCCCGAGCGGGAGGACCAACAUCCGUCACCUGCACCGACGCUUAGCCCCUUCCUUCGACCACCUGGCAGCCUGCGCGACCAUGGUGGUCGGCGCCUCCGGCCGCCAAGUAGCCACACCAAGCCAACCACAACCUCCAUCGGCUCCCUGCAGCAUGCACAACCACCUUCGUAUCGCAUCGCAAGAAGCCGCCAAAUAUAUACAUAAAGCACAAAAGGUUUAUAUAGUAUGGAAACACUUUCCGAGACUAAUAUAUGCCUAUGAUGUUCAGCGAUCUUGUCCACGUCAGGUAAAAAAAACGAUCUUGUCCACGUACAUUUUGAAAUUUUUAACCUAACAAAAUAUAAAAUGAUAGCUAUUAUAUAAACUGAGUUUAAAAUAAUAAUAAAGUAACAUUGCACUAAAAUUUGCACUUCGAGAAUCAAAUAUGGGUUAGAGCAUCUCUAACAAAUCCCCUAUAAUUUAGAAGAGGAAACGUCCGGGAAUCCUUUGGAGGAGUAUAUUAGCUCCUUUAAAAAGGUGUGUUUUUUAUCCGAUCCCUAAUCUUAACUCCCUACUCUCUGGGGAAUGCUCGUCGGAGGUGAGUGUGGUGGCGCCUUCCACGCCCGCGCCCGUGUCCAUCGACGUCAACUCCAUGCCGGUGGCCGGUGGGUCAUCAUUCCUAGGGGCGAGGAAACACCCGUGAGAGAUGCCAGCCGACGUGCUCCCCAGCGCCCGCAACCUGUUCGCAGAUUGCCGGCGGCCGAAAUCCAGUAAUGUCGUCCUCGUAAUCGAAGUCCCAUUCAAGGGCUACCGACAGUGUCCUGGAUUAGGGGGUGCUAACCUGGUCGGCCCAUGCUCCUCGGUUGGGCCGAUGGGCCUUCAUUCGUACUCAACGAAAAGAAUACGAGGUGGGAUUCUUCAUUAAUGAGAUGGCAUUGAUGUCAUAUUUAGAUGUGAGCUAUUAUCUAUCUCACAUCUAGAUGAGAUAUAGUCAGACCCAUAUUUUAAUGGCGUAGGAGACAUGGACGAUGUCAAAACGUCGGAUUAGUCGGGACCACUGCUGCUCUAUGAUCCAGUAAUUCCAUUGGUUUAUGACUAUUAGGUGCUAAAUUCUAACAGUAUUUGGAUUUUGUGUGCAUUACAUGUGACGCAUGGAAGCUAAUUUUAAGGCCCUUGCAUUGUACUGCAUGCCAUAAUACUUUUGUCCCCUUCUAGGUCAUUCACACGAACUUCUUGGAUAAAUCUCCUCCAGGUAACCCCCGUAUACCAUAUAGUAUUACAAACUCGCACUUUAGACAGAUGAAGAAGAGACAAUUUAGGUUUCUCUGCAAGCAAGAUACUGUCUACGCAAAUUGUGGUCAAAUGCUAUCGAAGGUUGCAUCAGCUGGCACUAAUACAGGAUGUUUGGAAGUCUCUUCCAGCGGGAUCACAUCAACACGUAAUGCUCAGGGCCGGCCCUGGGGUAUGGCGGGAGGGGCGACGGCCCAGGGCCCAGGCCGGGAGGGGGUCCAUGAUGUAGGAUACAUAUUAGUAUAGCCCAGCAAGAAAUAUGUAUGAAAAAAAUUAUACUCUACAUGACAAACGAAACGAGAUGGGCCGGCCCUGCAGAUAGCUAGCUAGCGAUGGUGAAGCAUCAUCACGCCAGCCAGACGCAAGGCACGGCGCCACGGCCGCUCAUUUUUUGCUUCUGAAACAAAUCAAAGAUCUUGUCGUGUGCCUUCGUCGCUCGUCAGUUCGUCUUCGCGACUUCGUCCUCUCCACGAAAGUCGACCUGUCGCUCGGCUCGCCGCCGCUAGUCGUCGUCGCUGCGCACGCCCGCGCGGCCAUCUGGCAUCCGGCAAGGCGGAAAUACAUAUACUAAACGUGUUGCAGGAAACUUUGCCAGAUGGUUUGAUGUCAGAGCUUGAGAUUCUUCAAUUUGUUAUGGAUGUAGAUUGCUAUCCAAAUGUCUCUCUUGCCUAUCGGAUCCUCUCAACCGUGCAUGUGUCUAUAGCCUCAGCUGAAAGAAGUUUCUCUAAACUGAAACUAUUGGAAAAUUAUUUGAGGUCAACUAUGUUGCAAGAUAGAUUGAAUGACUUGGCUAUGUGCUGCAUUGAGAAGGAUAUCUUGGAUAAUGUUGGUCUUCAUUGUGCCCUUAAUGACUUUGCAUCAAGAAACGCCCGAAGAAACUUUUUUUGAAGCACCGAAGUAUUAUUGUUGGCAAUGGAGUCAGUCGAAUUUGGUUCUUAUUUAAGGUAAUCAUGUCAUGUUAGUUUCAUUUUGCUAUAUUAUUAGGACAUAGGGGCCCAUGUCCUUGAGUUCGCCUAGGGCCUCCCGAAACACAGGGCCGACCCUGAUAAUGCUGCAGAAUGUUUCAAGGAGCAUAAGAGAAAAAUGCUGCAUGGCAAGGAAGCAAUGGGUGCUCGAGGGAAGAGAUUGGUAAAGACAGCCACCUACAAACAAGAACAGGUUCACCCAAUAGUGAUAAAGAACAAUAAAUAUGCUUUGUAUACAUUCCUUUAAAAAAACAGUGGGAGAAAAAUAGAAAGUAUUGCAUA